GGGCCCGUAGCUCAUCUGGUAGAGCGUCGCUAUGGCAUAGCGAAGGUGGUCGGUUCGAGCCCGAUCGGGUCCA
rnacentral:tRNA from 1 species